rnacentral:misc_RNA from 1 species
CAUUUCAACAGCUUUUUGACUUUGCCCAUCUCCUAAUACAACUGCUGACAUAGCUUGUACAGAACCUGAAUUUUCCAAGAAUUCUUAGUUGCAUCUCUAUCUUUGCUUGCUUAUUGCCUAACUCCUUGCAAAUGCAGUCUCUCGUUAAGGACUUGUCCGCUAAAUUCCACUUCCCCUGUCUUUCCAUUUACCUCCUUUUAGUCUCAUCUUCUGUUUGUUUCAUCUAUCUUUUGGCAUCAGUUUUCCUGGUAGAGACUUCCAAGUUCUCCGAUGUCAAAUCCUCUUCAGAAAAUGUUCAUGCCCCAACAAAUCUUGGACAUUUUGUGUUUGGAAUUGCUUCCAACAAGAACUCAUGGCCGAAGCGAAAGGAGUUUGUUAAAUUGUGGUGGAAACCAGAGCAAAUGCGGGGAUGUGUUUUCUUGGAGAGCUUGCUGGAAGAUGAGAAUUCCUACAACGAUAGCAGCACUUCUUUUCCUCCUGUAUGCAUCUCUGAGGACACUUCCAGAUUUCGUUACACAUACCGGAAUGGUCUCCGGUCAGCUAUUCGUGUUGCACGAGUAGUUUCUGAAACGGUGGCACUUAAUCAUUCCGAUGUCCGGUGGUUUGUUUUUGGGGAUGAUGACACAGUUUUCUUCCCAGAGAAUCUGGUGAAAACUCUAUCCAAGUAUGAUCAUGGCCUCUGGUACUACGUAGGAUCCAAUUCCGAGAUUUAUGAGCAGAACAGAAUAUUUGGCUUCGAAAUGGCAUUUGGUGGGGGAGGAUUUGCCGUAAGUUAUCCACUUGCAAAAGUUCUGGCAAAGGUUUUUGAUUCAUGUAUUGAACGGUAUCCACAUCUCUAUGGAAGUGAUUCCAGGGUCUCUUCUUGCCUGGCUGAGCUUGGAGUGGGAUUGACCCGCGAGCCUGGUUUCCAUCAGAUUGAUGUUCGAGGUAAUUUAUUUGGUUUGUUGACAUCACAUCCACUGUCACCAAUAGUAUCUCUCCAUCACUUGGGUCACCUAGACCCAAUCUUCCCCAACAUGACAAUUACAGAUUCACUAGAACAUUUCUUUAAAGCUGUGGCUGUUGAUUCCCAGAGGGUCUUGCAGAAAACAGUUUGCUAUGAUCGUUGGUUUUUCUGGACUAUUUCAGUCUCAUGGGGUUAUGCUAUUGAGGUCUAUAGCAAGCACAUAUUGUUGCCUGAUACUCUCCCUGUGCAAGCCACAUUCAAGCAAUGGAAAAAGGGAAAUGUUCUGGCCGGAGCUUAUACAUUUAAUAUAAGAGAACCUCACCCUGAUCCUUGUCAGAGACCCACAAUUUUCUUCCUGGAUCAUGUUUCUUCCAGCAAUGAUGGGAUAAUCACCAGUCAUUACAAGAAAAGUUAUGCGAAUUGCUCAUAUGACAUGUCAUCACCAAGAAAAUUAGAAGAGAUUAAAGUUCUUUCGCAUAAGCUUGAGCUUAGUGAUAAACAGUUGCGGGCUCCAAGGCGGCAAUGUUGUGAUGUUUUACCUUCUUCCGGUGGUAAAAUGAUGGAAAUUGAAAUUAGAGAAUGCCGAAAAGAAGAAUUAAUUUACAUGCAUCGAUAGUUAUAACUCAAUGGUUCAUAGCAUGUCUCUCAUAGCCCGUACCCAACUUCAAUAUAUAUCUGAUCUAAAAUAAAGUGAUGAAACCUAGUUAGAAAUCCGUAAGUCGACAUCCGUACAAACAAAAGAAGCAAAAGCUUAUUCUUCUAGGAUCAUAUGUGAAUGGUGCAAAUUUUUCAAUGCGAAAUUCCAGGCUUGUAUGGUAUUGAGUACUGAUGACUUUUCUUCAAGAAGAAACUUCUUGUCAGCCUUGUAUGGCGUUGACCCUUAGAAUGCAAGCUAACGAAAAUUCAGGUUUGGAGAGAUUGCAGGAAGGAUAACAUGGUUCCUCACAAUCACAUGACAUUUCUUGAAGAAGCUUCAACUCUAUGCCUUCAAUAAGCUUAUGUAUACUUGGUAUUGUCAAUAUUACAGCAUAUGAAGAAACUUGCGAGCUGUCUCAAUAUCCACUUUUGAUUGUAUUGUAGGUAAAUUUUUUUGUACACCAUAAACCAAGACAAAAGAUUGCACACACAUUUUUUAUAUAAAAUAUUAUUAUGGCCG